rnacentral:rRNA from 1 species
CUGGGCGUAAUAGACUAUUCGCUGAGGAAUUCUAGUCUUCGGACUAGAGCCGGGUUGGGUUAAAGGAAGCUUCUAAUCAGAAUGUCUACAUUUUAAGAUUAGAUCUCAAAUCAGGUAGGACUACCCGCUGAACUUAAGCAUAUCAAUAAGCGGAGGAAAAGAAACUAACAAGGAUUCCCCUAGUAGCGGCGAGCGAAGCGGGAAGAGCUCAAAUUUAUAAUCUGGCACCUUCGGUGUCCGAGUUGUAAUCUCUAGAAAUGUUUUCCGCGUUGGACCGCACACAAGUCUGUUGGAAUACAGCGGCAUAGUGGUGAGACCCCCGUAUAUGGUGCGGACGCCCAGCGCUUUGUGAUACAUUUUCGAAGAGUCGAGUUGUUUGGGAAUGCAGCUCAAAUUGGGUGGUAAAUUCCAUCUAAAGCUAAAUAUUGGCGAGAGACCGAUAGCGAACAAGUACCGUGAGGGAAAGAUGAAAAGCACUUUGGAAAGAGAGUUAACAGUACGUGAAAUUGUUGGAAGGGAAACGCUUGAAGUCAGACUUGCUUGCCGAGCAAUCGGUUUGCAGGCCAGCAUCAGUUUUCCGGGAUGGAUAAUGGUAGAGAGAAGGUAGCAGUUUCGGCUGUGUUAUAGCUCUCUGCUGGAUACAUCUUGGGGGACUGAGGAACGCAGUGUGCCUUUGGCGGGGGGUUUCGACCUCUUCACACUUAGGAUGCUGGUGGAAUGGCUUUAAACGACCCGUCUUGAAACACGGACCAAGGAGUCUAACAUGCUUGCGAGUAUUUGGGUGUCAAACCCCGAUGCGUAAUGAAAGUGAAUGGAGGUGGGAACCGCAAGGUGCACCGUCGACCGAUCUGG